AUGAAGACAGUUACUCCUGUUCUGUUAAAGGUCAUGAGGAUCUCCACUCUCCUACAGUGUUCCUAAACAGAGUGGUAGGUGGAGGGAUAAGUUGACCCCUGAGGAUCUAACCACAGACCCAGGGUAUGCAGGUCGGGUGGAGUAUCCUGACCAAGAGAGUAGAAGAGACAGAGGUACCUCCACCCUGAGAAUCACAGAUCUGAGAGAGGAGGACUCAGCUGAGUAUCGCUUCACUUUUAAAACAUCCAACUUUGAAUGGGGUUAUAGUUUCCCUGGAACAACUCUGACUGUCACAGAUGUACAGGUGAAGAUGAGUCCUGCUACAGUGACUGAGGGACAGAAUGUAACACUGACCUGUAUCACAUCCUGUCCUCUGACUGGUAACCCCACCUACACCUGGUAC